AACGAUCCGUUCCCAAAUGUGGUCAGAUAAAUUAGAAUUUGAAAUAUAUGUCUAAAUAAAAUCACCAGAGUGCUAUAAUAUAGUAGAAGCUGCAUGCCAAAUGAGAAAGUGAAUCAAUGAAUGCAAUAUUGUCAGUUUAUUAAAACCAUGCAAUAUUGUUCAGGAAGUCGUUACAGAAUGGCACGUUUCCUUGCCGGGUUGCCAAAUGCAAAACCUGCGAUUUCAUAGAUUCUGCCACCACCAUUUCGGCACCUAAAUCUCAAUACCAUGUCAAGCACCAUUUCAUGUGCAGCUCCUCCCAUCGCAUCUAAUGCAGUAGAUGUGGCAUGCUUUAUAUUGGAGAAACCGGAAGACCUGUUGCCAGACAAGAUCUGUUGCCAGACAUUUUAAUACUGACAAUUACAGUGUUUCAGAUAUGGAAAUUUGAGCCCUCUGUCCCAUUUCUGGAUGCAACGAUAGCCGCAAAAGACAUGAAAUGUGCCAUUGUGCCUCAUUUCCAAGCUUGGCACUGUCCACCCCUAUGGCAUUAACCCUUUAAGUGGCAAAUAUGCACCCUGAUGCGCCUUAGCUACUGUAGUAUAAUAAUUUUACUCUGUCUAAUGCCAGACAAUGUUUAACUCUAUCUAUCCUUGGCUAUCAAAAUCAGAUCGAUUGACAGUACUUUUAAUUCUUAC